UGGCGUUAAAAUCGCCAAACACGAUAAUAAAUACAACAAGGACCUAUUCGUCUCAGUCUUUAUCCCGCCCAUAGCACGUCUUGGACGGCGGGGACUUCAGCCUUUACUCUUACGAGGACAUCAACCAGCUGAGCAGCGGCACCUUCUUAAUUAGGUGACCGGACAAUCCAGAUGGAGAAUUUUCAUGAGGCACAGCCGUACCUGAAUGACUUUUGGAUUCCACUCUACAAUAUCGGAAAGUAAUAGACGCAAUUUGCUGACCAAAUCUAUGAUUAAACAACAUCAUCAGCGGCAACAAUGUCAAGUGAGUAAAUAUCCUUUUCAUUUUGGUAAUCAGUAUUUAAUUCUUUGCAUUCAAUUUGAGAAUUCUUUCAUUUGAGUGACAUUGAUAUGUUUGGCAACGACAAAAAAGAGCAAAGCGGACAUUUAAGCGCACGCACCUUCUUCGCAAAAGCAGAAAAUUCUCACUCGCACAAGCAUAUAACGAAAUGAGCAACGAAAGGCGCUGGUAACUUCGGCAGCAUCGGUUACAAUGUCGCACUGACAUUUAUCUUGAUGAAUGAUCGAGCUAAUACAAAACGUCCCAACAACACGACCGCGCCUGUGAUAGCGCCACGUGGCACACGCAAAUGACGAACGCCCGACAUGACGCCCGUGAUUGCCACAUCCGAUUACUAGGCUUUUGUAGAGGCUAACGAAUUUCGCGUUUACUCGUCGUUUAUUCGUAUCACAUUGGUUUUAUACUCGUACUUUGGCGAAAUUUAACUAUUUUUUAAGUAGAAACAUGUGUGUGUGUAAUAGCCGAUGAUUGGGUGGUUAUGGUUUUGCGGAGCUGGUAUGUCUAAAGGGAUUCAUCGUAAUCGCGAUGGUGUUAAUUUGGUGUGCAAAAAUCAAAUGCGAUUAAAAAUCUUAUCUAAAUGAAUUGAGAACUUUAUUAACGCUUCAGUGGAUGGAUUGUAAAAUCCGAAGGGUUGUUAUUUGGGCGAGACUUUCUAUUUUUCUCAUAUUGACAUUUUAUGUGUCUUAAUACCAUCUUUAUCAAAAUCUCCAAAGUUCUGUGUAUGCAGAAACACAUGAAGAAUUACGGGAGUUCUUGUCGAGGAACUGCUACUGUUACUAAAUGCUUGUCACAACUGUCAUUUUUUAAUAAUUAUAAGUUCAUACUGAUCAUUUUAGGAGACGAACUCAUUAAAAAAUACUCUGGAUCGAGUUAUAAUUGAGCUACCAUACUCAAACCUUACACCUACGUUCGCGCUCAGUAGCCUGGGCAAGAUGAGAAACUUUGAGUGAGAUGCGGUAACCAUACCGUGUUCAGCUCAGGGGCAUAACGAAGAGAGAGGGAGCGUUGAUGGACCACUUCGUAGUAAUCGGUUUCAGUGCUCAACAAGAUAGUUCCACCUGUCCAUCAGGAGGUCAUGGCGGAGGAGAGGGAGCCUUGACGGGGCCACUCCGAUGAAAUUAACUUAAUUGUUCAACAAGGUGGCCUUGUCUGUCCACCAGAACGUGCGGAUGAGCGUCUGUCUUGGAGUUAUCGACUCCCUUUACCCACGUGAUCAAUAAAACCUUUUCCUCAGCUGAGCUUGUGCCGUUGGGUUUGGGAUCCGUCAUGUAAAAAUGUAAUUCCAAUACAAAGAACACAAGAACCUGGGAUGUGAUGGAUAAUUAUAUGGACGAUGACGAACCGAGAUGAAAAACCACUUGAGACAUUCAAGAGAAGUGUUGAAAUCAUGAACUGCUUCGCUCUACGGUGAAAUGGAUAUAGUUAAGCGCACAAAAAUUCAACGAAUGCGCUAAAGAAGCCAUGGGUAGACAACGGAAGCAAAGGCGGCAGGCCCUGCCCGGCCACAGGAACUUAUCCUUGGCGGCAGUGAUUUGGAGAUGACUAAUGUAGUCAAUCAUCUUGGUCUUACGCUGGAUUCCACUCUUCGGUGGAAGCAGCAGGUGGAUCCGACCAUAGUCACAGCUACUAAAGCUGCAAGCCAAGGGCACAAUUUGUAUGUGUCGAACUGAAGGACUUGAAGUUAGGAUGAGUUUGCAUCGCUUCACCUAGUAAUACAAGUAAAUCAAGCAGCCAAACAUACACUGCUUCAAAUAACAGCUGAAGGCUUUGUUAGAAGAAAGGUAAUCUCGUCCCAGCAAAUGAAAGCCCUAAGUGUUGAACUAUCACUGGCUCUUCUGUCUAGUAUCAGCAUUGCCAAAAGGGUAUACCCAACUAGAAAGUUCAAAGUUACCCUCAGCAGUAAAGCUGCAUGGAAUAAUUCCACUCUCGAUCUACUGCUUUGGGAUAGCACAAUCAAGUGGUAUUCCAACGGCUGGAAUUGAUGCAGGAUUCGCAGAACCACGUACCAAACUCUCCAUACCUAUUGGAAGUUUUCGAGCAAGAGAAAUUGGAGUACAUUCUGACAUGGCCUCGCAAAAGAAAGAGGCAAAUGGCGAAUUUUUUCUUCUCUGCCCACCCCGCGGUUGAUAUCCUUGCAUAAUUAAAAAUUAAAAGUAUACAAUCUGAGCUCCUUCCUUGGGA